rnacentral:rRNA from 1 species
UACGUAGGGGGCGAGCGUUGUCCGGAUUUAUUGGGCGUAAAGAGCGUGUAGGCGGUUCGGCAAGUCCGCUGUGAAAACUCGAGGCUCAACCUCGAGAUGUCGGUGGAAACUGCCUGGCUAGAGUCCGGAAGAGGAGUGUGGAAUUCCUGGUGUAGCGGUGAAAUGCGCAGAUAUCAGGAAGAACACCUAUGGCGAAGGCAGCACUCUGGGACGGUACUGACGCUGAGACGCGAAAGCGUGGGGAGCGAACAGG